AGCAAUCUAUACAGUGAAACUGCGAAUGGCUCAUUAAAUCAGUUAUCGUUUAUUUGAYAGUACCUUACUACUUGGAUAACCGUGGUAAUUCUAGAGCUAAUACAUGCUAAAAACCUCGACUUCGGAAGGGGUGUAUUUAUUAGAUAAAAAACCAAUGCCCUUCGGGGCUCCUUGGUGAUUCAUAAUAACUUAACGAAUCGCAUGGCCUUGUGCCGGCGAUGGUUCAUUCAAAUUUCUGCCCUAUCAACUUUCGAUGGUAGGAUAGUGGCCUACCAUGGUUUCAACGGGUAACGGGGAAUUAGGGUUCUAUUCCGGAGAGGGAGCCUGAGAAACGGCUACCACAUCCAAGGAAGGCAGCAGGCGCGCAAAUUACCCAAUCCCGACACGGGGAGGUAGUGACAAUAAAUACUGAUACAGGGCUCUUUUGGGUCUUGUAAUUGGAAUGAGUACAAUUUAAAUCCCUUAACGAGGAACAAUUGGAGGGCAAGUCUGGUGCCAGCAGCCGCGGUAAUUCCAGCUCCAAUAGCGUAUAUUAAAGUUGUUGCAGUUAAAAAGCUCGUAGUUGAACCUUGGGCCUGGUUGGUCGGUCCGCCUCACCGCGUGCACUGAUCCGACCGGGCCUUUCCUUCUGGGGAGCCGCAUGCCCUUCACUGGGUGUGUCGGGGAACCAGGACUUUUACUUUGAAAAAAUUAGAGUGUUCAAAGCAGGCCUAUGCUCGAAUACAUUAGCAUGGAAUAAUAGAAUAGGACGUGUGGUUCUAUUUUGUUGGUUUCUAGGACCGCCGUAAUGAUUAAUAGGGAUAGUCGGGGGCAUCAGUAUUCCGUUGUCAGAGGUGAAAUUCUUGGAUUUACGGAAGACUAACUACUGCGAAAGCAUUUGCCAAGGAUGUUUUCAUUAAUCAGUGAACGAAAGUUAGGGGAUCGAAGACGAUCAGAUACCGUCGUAGUCUUAACCAUAAACUAUGCCGACUAGGGNUCGNNCGAUGUUAUCUUUUUGACUCGCUCGGCACCUUACGAGAAAUCAAAGUUUCAAAGUUU
rnacentral:rRNA from 1 species